rnacentral:rRNA from 1 species
CCGGCGACCGGCGCACGGGUGAGUAACACGUAUGCGACCCUGCCCCCCGCAGGGGAUAACCGGGAGAAAUCCCGACUAAUACCGCGUAACGCCGCGGACCUGCAUGGGUCUGCGGCCAAAGGAAGCGAUUCCGGCGGGGGAUGGGCAUGCGGCGCAUUAGCUAGUCGGCGGGGUAACGGCCCACCGAGGCGACGAUGCGUAGGGGUUCUGAGAGGAAGGUCCCCCCACACUGGUACUGAGACACGGACCAGACUCCUACGGGAGGCAGCAG